CGCGUAGGCGGCUUUAUAAGUCUGGAGUGAAAGUCCUCUUUUCAAGGGAGGAAUUGCUUUGGAAACUAUAGAGCUUGAGUGCAGGAGAGGUUAUCGGAAUUCCCGGUGUAGCGGUGAAAUGCGUAGAUAUCGGGAGGAACAUCAGUGGCGAAGGCGACUAACUGGACUGUAACUGACGCUGAGGCGCGAAAGUGUGGGGAGCAAACA
rnacentral:rRNA from 1 species